rnacentral:lncRNA from 1 species
AGCCACAAAGUCAAGUUCGGGCAGCUUUAGGCAGCCCCACCCUACACCUCUCCUCCUGGGACCCUGAGGGCAUCUACUCUGACACUCUGGCAGGAGGGACAGCCACAGCCCCCGCCCAAGGCAGCCCACAUCACAGGUCCACAGAUCCUUUCACUCCCUGCAAAUGGAGUUCUGGGAAGAGGCCCCUUCUUCAAGCGCUGUUGGGGGCCAGGGCUCUUGGAGUGGGAGUGAAGAGACAAUGGGACGCCUUUCCACCUGCCAGCUCAGGACUGCAGAGUCUGCAGGGACCCUCCAUCAGCUGGUCCAGCCUCAUCUAACCUCCACACGUCCAGUGGGCUCCAGCAGGAGAGAACCCAGGCAGGAGAGGGCCUGUCGGCUUUCAUCGCCUCCCCCCACCCCAGCCACACCCAGGAGCAGGGGAGGAAGUCGGGAAAAUCCUGCAGGGGCUUGGCAAAGUGCCCAGCGGUGAGGGGAGGGGCUCGGUGGGGGGGACCCCAGCUGUAGCCCGCACAGACCACUCUGAAACAAGCCGCAACCCUCGCCAUCUCCCUGGAACAAGAAUGAUCCCUUUCUGGUGGAGUGAGGUAGUCUGGGGGCCGGAGGGAGGACCAACCUUGGGUCCCCAGGGCCUUCCCUGGAAGACCGUGGAGGAAACCCACCAGACCUACUCCAGGAGCUCCCAGAUCCAGCUGAAGGAGAAGUGGAACAAGACUCCCCUCCCUCGGGCCAGGGGCGCUCCAGUAUUCCCGGGAGCGGGAUGGAGCACCUGCCCCUGCUCCCCUUCCCCCACUGGGCCCAGGCACGCGAGGUUCAGCAGCGGCCCCGCCCACUCCCUGCCCCAGCCCCCCACAACCGUGGCCGCAGCACCCCUCAGCAGUCUCCCGACGUUAGGAAAUUAGGCUGUGCACCUCUUUCUCCCGGCACCCCCUUUAGCACUGGUAUCUCCGCCUCUGAGAAGGGGGAAACAGCACUGAUCACAGAGUUUUCCGGGACCAGGCGCCCCACCCGGAGGCUUGGCGGUCGCCAAGGGAGCGCGAGCGGGGGCUGCGGAGCGUCCGGGAUCAUUCCCACGGCCUGGGAUAGGGGUCCCAGCAGCGCGGCCGGCAAGCGAGGGGAGGGCCUUGGGGCGGCAUCGCGGGGAAGAGGCCCCGGCCCGGGCCUCCCGGGGCCGGGGUCCCGGCGGGGCCCACCUUGCAAGAGUACGUGUGCUGCACCGGGUCCACGUUGAGGAUCUCCUCCACCGUGCCGGUGAGCACCACGUUCGCCUCCUCCUCGCGCCGCUCCAGCGCGCGCUCCGGGC